CCUUUUGACCUAGUAGAAACCCCCUCCCCUAAUUUGACCAAGCAGCCACCAAAGAGAGCCCCACCGCCGGCGCUGGAGAACCAACCUCCAUGUAGUCCGCUGCAACCUGAGCAGUCGGCGCUACCCAACUGAUCCUCCUGCACGAUUGGAGUCUUUCCUUCAUGCUUGGUGUUCGCUGCUGCCAUCGUCCCCCUCGUGCUAUCGUCGAGCGUCGGUCGUUGACUAGGAGCUCCCCGUCGCUGUCGCCUGGCCGCCAGACAUCUGCACGCCCGUGUGGACCUGUGUCGCACCAUACUCAUCUCUGAACGUCGCGUCUUCUUUGCGCUGUCUGUGGUGUACCAUCAACGAAUCAAACGCCACCGUUCCCUCUGCCUGAUCGUGACGCUUCUCUUCGUCCCCCUCUUGGGCUACAAAAGGUCAGUAUAAAGCUAUCGUUCUACUCUAUAGUGUAUGUUUGUUUGACACCUAGGUUUCAGAUGUUCUUUGAUUAGGUGUAUGUUGAUUUUGAAGUUUAUGGUGGUGCAAUGGGAUUGAGUUCUUGCUGUUUAUAUAUGGUGGGGCUCCAUACCAGACUCAGGAGAGUAAGCUUAGGAGAGGUGUUGAUAUUGUUGUUGGCACUCCAGGUCGCGUGAAAGAUCAUAUAGAGAGGGAAAAUGUUGACCUGAGCCAGCUAAAGUUCCGUGUCCUUGAUGAGGCUAAUGAGAUGCUCAGAAUGGGUUUUGUUGAAGAGGUGGAACUAAUUCUAGGCAAGGUACAAGAUGUUAGCAAAGUUCAGACACUUCUUUUCAGUGCUACUUUGCCAGAAUUGGGUUAAGCAUGCAUGUUUUGUCAUCAUCCUAUGUUUCAGUACUAUUUUGCUAGCCAUUUUUUGGGUAAAAAACCUAACAAUGAUACAAAAAAGGGUGCAGUCAAAGAAUUCAAUACCAAACCAGCAGAAUAGAGAGCCACCUCAAGAGAAGGUAUUUGACAUAACAAUUGAUCCAAGAUGAAAGAGGGAACAUGAUCAUGCUAAUUUGUUACAUUAUAUUUUUUGUUGUUUAGUUUAGGUGUGAUUGUAACAAUCUUUUUUGUUUUGAACACUGUAUUGUGCUAAUUAAGUGUGGAAUAUUGCAGAUCAUUAUUUACAUUUAGAUAUCAAGUUUGAUGAACUAGCCUUCACCAGUGAUUGUAGUUGGUUACUUUAAUUUCUCACACAAAAUUUUAAACUGUUCAUUUAUUAAUUUUCAUAUUAUAUA